rnacentral:rRNA from 1 species
UACGAAGGGGGCUAGCGUUGCUCGGAAUCACUGGGCGUAAAGGGUGCGUAGGCGGGUCUUUAAGUCAGGGGUGAAAUCCUGGAGCUCAACUCCAGAACUGCCUUUGAUACUGAGACUUGAGUUCGGGAGAGGUGAGUGGAACUGCGAGUGUAGAGGUGAAAUUCGUAGAUAUUCGCAAGAACACCAGUGGCGAAGGCGGCUCACUGGCCCGGUACUGACGCUGAG